CUCCAUAUGGAGUCAGUGUGGUGUGGCCCAGGGGCGGGCGGUGUCGCGGGCUCCUGUCCUCACCCUAACUCUGGGUAUUGUUGCAACAGCAACAAAGUGGUGACCCCGACGUGAUAGGGUGAGGGUGGUCGCCGGGGCGACGGGGGUGGCACCAGACGAUGGAAGCAGUGAUUAAGGUCCCGUGAAGAGGAAAUACGUGCUUGUGACCGGCUGAUAUCGCGAGAACAACGUCGCGGGAAAGAGAACAACGCCAAGUUCACAGGCAAAGACUCAUGAUGGUUCAAGAAACAACGGCUGUAUUGUAGCAUGGAGAGGGGGACUUGUGGUAGGCGAAACGGGGCGUUGCGGAAGAUCACGCGAUGUGACGUCACAACGAGGCAGGGCUAAGACAGGAAAAGGCAGCGCGGGCGCGUAUAUAAGGAAUUGUAAUGACGCAAUAAACGCCAUUUGCCGCAUCCUCCA